CGCCAAACAGCUAGCCCCUUCAACCAAAAAUAACAAACCCCUAUAAAUACCCCCAAAGACACUACACCCGUAAAAAACAAACCAUUUUUCCCCCUUAGUAUGGGCGACAGAAAAG
rnacentral:rRNA from 1 species